rnacentral:rRNA from 1 species
CUACGUGCCAGCAGCCGCGGUAAUACGUAGGGUGCAAGCGUUAAUCGGAAUUACUGGGCGUAAAGCGUGCGCAGGCGGUUUGCUAAGACCGAUGUGAAAUCCCCGGGCUCAACCUGGGAACUGCAUUCGAAACUGGCAGGCUAGAGUCUUGUAGAGGGGGGUAGAAUUCCAGGUGUAGCGGUGAAAUGCGUAGAGAUCUGGAGGAAUACCGGUGGCGAAGGCGGCCCCCUGGACAAAGACUGACGCUCAGGUGCGAAAGCGUGGGGAGCAAACAGGAUUAGAUACCCUGGUAGUCCACGCCGUAAACGAUGUCGACUUGGAGGUUGUGCCCUUGAGGCGUGGCUUCCGGAGCUAACGCGUUAAGUCGACCGCCUGGGGAGUACGGCCGCAAGGUUAAAACUCAAAUGAAUUGACGGGGGCCCGCACAAGCGGUGGAGCAUGUGGUUUAAUUCGAUGCAACGCGAAGAACCUUACCCACUCUUGACAUCCAGA